CAGCGAAAGGUGCUUGCACCUUUCAAGUGAGUGGCGAACGGGUGAGUAACACGUGGACAACCUGCCUCAAGGCUGGGGAUAACAUUUGGAAACAGAUGCUAAUACCGAAUAAAACUCAGUGUCGCAUGACACAAAGUUAAAAGGCGCUUUGGCGUCACCUAGAGAUGGAUCCGCGGUGCAUUAGUUAGUUGGUGGGGUAAAGGCCUACCAAGACAAUGAUGCAUAGCCGAGUUGAGAGACUGAUCGGCCACAUUGGGACUGAGACACGGCCCAAACUCCUACGGGAGGCUGCAGUAGGGAAUCUUCCACAAUGGGCGAAAGCCUGAUGGAGCAACGCCGCGUGUGUGAUGAAGGCUUUCGGGUCGUAAAGCACUGUUGUAUGGGAAGAACAGCUAGAAUAGGGAAUGAUUUUAGUUUGACGGUACCAUACCAGAAAGGGACGGCUAAAUACGUGCCAGCAGCCGCGGUAAUACGUAUGUCCCGAGCGUUAUCCGGAUUUAUUGGGCGUAAAGCGAGCGCAGACGGUUAAUUAAGUCUGAUGUGAAAGCCCGGAGCUCAACUCCGGAAUGGCAUUGGAAACUGGUUAACUUGAGUGCAGUAGAGGUAAGUGGAACUCCAUGUGUAGCGGUGGAAUGCGUAGAUAUAUGGAAGAACACCAGUGGCGAAGGCGGCUUACUGGACUGUAACUGACGUUGAGGCUCGAAAGUGUGGGUAGCAAACAGGAUUAGAUACCCUGGUAGUCCACACCGUAAACGAUGAACACUA
rnacentral:rRNA from 1 species